rnacentral:rRNA from 1 species
GAUGAACGCUAGCUACAGGCUUAACACAUGCAAGUCGAGGGGCAGCAUGGUCUUAGCUUGCUAAGACUGAUGGCGACCGGCGCACGGGUGAGUAACGCGUAUCCAACCUUCCCCUUAGUAGGGCAUAGCCCGGCGAAAGUCGGAUUAAUACCCUAUGUUGUUCGCCGCGGACAUCUAACGUGAACCAAAGGUUUACCGCUAAGGGAUGGGGAUGCGUCUGAUUAGGUUGCAGGCGGGGUAACGGCCCACCUGGCCGACGAUCAGUAGGGGUUCUGAGAGGAAGGUCCCCCACAUUGGAACUGAGACACGGUCCAAACUCC